rnacentral:tRNA from 1 species
GCUCGAAUAGCUCAGUUGGUAGAGCGCUUGACUAGUAAUCAAGAGGUCUGGAGUUCGAGUCUCCAUUUGAGCA